GUAGGGAGGCCCAUUGAUUUUUGCCUUUGGUCGUACAUCAUCUUCUCCACCAUACCACGCGUCUCUCCAUCCAGAUCUGACAGCUGUUGAACAGGAAGCACGCACAGUGAGGAAGGAGCAGAAAGAUCCACACCUUUGACUGAAUAAUUCCACAGUGUGCCACACAUCUACACGUCUUCUUACCUUUUCCAAGUGGACAGUAACCACCUUGCCAUCAUCGAUGAGCCAGGAGCUCUCCUCUACCUUCACCUCGUUGUAGAGUUGGCCAUCAAUAACUGGAGGAUGUCCUUUCAGGCCCACUUUGAUGGAGCGCCGCUGGAUGUCCACAACUACAUCUUUGCCCUUAAUGCGAAAGUUCACACUAAA